CGUAUAGGUCGUACAUCAUACGGUACGCGUGACUCCGUGUGGAUCGAAAUCCGAUCUGCCGUCAUAAAAUCGUCGUCAUCAAAGACCGUACGGUGUUAUUAAUUUUUUUUCGAAUCGAAUAUUAUCCUACACGCGUAAAUACCUGAUUUCCCCUACGUAUAUACACUUGUUAUACUGUACAGCGGCGGUUUUGAGACGCGGAAAUACACACGGGAAUCGUAUA